AAGUGUUAUAUAACAUAAACAAAGAUAUUUACGGUCAAAGUCGAAAGAAAAAGACUCAAAAAGUCAAAAUAAGACACUUAAUAUGUGACGGAGGGAUUAAUUCUUAGUUUCUGACCGUUUCUUUUGUCACCCACUCACCCUGACCCUUUUGAGAAAACUAUAUACCAAAUUCCUUUGCCACCUUGGUGGUGAUUAUUAAUUUGUGUUUAUAUACAUAUGUUUUACUUUAUUUGAUUUCAUGUUAAACCAUCUAUCAUUCAUCAAACAUUUUAUUGUUAGUUUCAUGCGAGCUAAACUAGCUUUUCUAAUUUCAAAGUAAUAUAGAUAUAGUACUCGUAAAAAAUUUGUUGUUAGUCCAAAAAAGCAAUAAAAAAAAAACAUUUUACGAAGAUAUAUUUUAUAACUCUUUUGCUAAAAGACAAUUUCAUAUAUUAACAUCUAUUGUACAACACAUUAUUAUAAAGUUUUAUUCUGUGUAAUAAAUAUUAUAAAGUAUAUCAUUCUUUUUUUAUGCCAAAACCUCGUAUGUUUACUUAGACCUUAUCUAAACUUAAUUAUUUUUUCUCGUCGCUUUCUUCGGCCCACAUCAUUUUUUUCUUAUUUCAUAUUUCAAAAAAUAGUAUUAUCAACCAUAAUUUUUUUUUUCUCAAUCUCUUUCUCAAAUAACUUACGAGAAAAUGAUUCGUACUACGCCGCUUUACCUAUCUUAUGUGUCUUGUUAAAAAAAGUUAUAAAUUAAACCUUUAAAUUUAAUAAACAUACAUAACCCCUGAAUUUUAUAUAAUUUCCCUUGCUUUACCUAUCUUAUAGCUUUACCUAAGUUUUCCCAUAACUUAUUACUAAAAAAAAACUCAGUCUUUCUUUUUAAUUGGUUCGAAUGAAUCAGUAAAGUAACAACGGAUUGGUGGAAUGAGGGAUCAAGAGACAGAUAGGGGGAGAAUGGCAAUCAUUGGUGGACCUUCCCUUGAAAUUUGUACACAUGAUCCCACCUAACCCCAACCUCCAUCUUUCUCGGAUUUUCUCACCAGAAAAUUGUGAUUUUUUUUUUCUUAUGAAAAUGGCUGAGACAACAGCCUUGCCAAUGGGUUUCGAAAAUGGGUGAGAAAGAAGGUGAGAAAACAAGCAUUGGUAUAGACCUUAGAUUAUAGAGCUGAUUUAUCUAACAAACUUAAAAUUGCAGAUUAUUAAACAAUUUGUAGUUGUUUUGCCCUUUCCAUUAACUUUAUAGAUAUAUAGCAAAUUAAACUAAUUAAAUAUUUUAGGAAAGAAUAGUGUAUCUUUAAACAUUUAUAAAUUAGCAUAUAUCCAUCAUUAGUGGAUUUGCACAUUUGGUGCCAUCUUCGUCGUUCACAAACACAUCAAACUUCAGGACUUCAAAUGAAACUCAAGCCACACCAAGAAUUCAAUUGUGUUGGAAGGCCUUUUCUACCAUUUAGGUAGAAACUGGAAGCAGUCUUUCUACUUAGGUAAAGGUAAGGUCUGCUUACAUCUUAACCUUCCCAAUACAUCGUCCAGGUAUUGGGGCUCAAAACCCGCAGAAAGCGACACUGAGCAGUUACUUAUAUAUAUAUAUAUAUAUAUUAAUUUGUAACUUGCAAGACCACAUGUGAAACGAGAAAGUUAAUCAAUUAAUCCCGGAUUCAAACUCCUAUUCCGAUAACUAAUUCUUCGAAUGUUUUGCUUUGGAUGAUCAAUGAGAUGCUGUGAUGAGAAGGCACAAAGGUCUAAGUUAUCGGUCGAUUUGGAAACACAGAAACAACUUCUUGGUGUCAAGUUUCUAUAUCUUUAAGUUAUUUCUUUCUUCUUUUGGAUCAAAUGCGCGCCGUAGCAUAUAUUAAAGUUUAAUUUGGCAUUUGUGGCACAUUAGCUUCACUUACUUAAUGUAACAUUCUAAUUUGUAAACUAUCUUCGGUGUUUUAAAGAUACAGCUGUUUUUAAUACAAUUCCCGUUGUUAAAAACAAAACUUGGCAUUUUUUAUACAGUCCAGACCCCCAGGUCCAAAAGCCCAUAAAACCAGGCCCAAACGAACAAUGACAAGACAAGCUCCCACCAUCUUCUUGAUCGAGUUUUUCCCCGCUUAAAAUAUAUAGUUGUUAGCAAUUCCUUUGUUUUAGGUCCACUUUCCAUGUAUUCUCUUUGGGAGGUGAUAUUUGUACCGUUGUAUUUGAUGGAUGUACGAUAAGGUACAAGCUUUAUAGUUAACUGUACAAACUAGUAUUGUACAGCCGUUCUAUUUCAUUUUCAUACGUUAUCUACAUUUAGUUAGAAUCAAUAGCAUUUUGUUUUGAAUUA